AUCGAUAUACAAAUUUACGAAAUCCACCAGAAGUAAUUUAUGUUGAACGAAGUUCUUGUCACGGGUUGAUAUUUUUCUAAAACAUUCGAAUGGUAGAGCAUCUAAAUGGUAAGUCAGUUUAAUAUUCUACAAAUCAUUGUUCACUUCGUCAGGAAAAAAGUUUUCCCGGGUUAAAUAUAUUUUUUUCUUUCUAUAACAGCUUAGAUCAUUGGAAGACUUACACAGUUAAACAAUCCUACACGGAACAACAUUUUUUCGUUUUUCGUAAAAAUACAACUUAAAUUAAUAACAAAACAAAAACAUAAACAAUAUUUACAAGUAGCCGUUUAUAUCGAUCUUUCGCCUGUUUUUUCCGUACACCACAAUUUUGAAGUGGAGCGACAGUUUGCCAGACGUGUAGAUGGAGACAACGUGUUUACGCAUGAUUUAAUUUUAGCUUGGUUCCUCGAAAUAAAAUCAUGGUUAACAACAGACAGUCGCACAGUCCAUCAUUUGUAUACAGAGAUAAGAAAACAUUGUCUUUCCAUGAAAAGGAAAUGUAAAUAAAAUUUUUGCAACAAAGCCAGAAAUUCAAAUUUGGUCAAAUAGUGAAAAGCUGUUGUAUUUGAAUGUUUUAUGCACUUUUGUAUUUAUUGACGACUCGAAUAUUAAAUCGUGUCAUUCCGUAGUAAACAUGCGUCUUAUUCAAAAUCAUAUUGACUCGGCUGCUUCGAAGACUUAUGAUACUACUCUACGUCAACAGAAUAAAAUGUUCUGUAACAAAAUAUGAUUCUGCUAUUUUAAGUAGGGGUGUAUCCGUUUAGCAAUGAUUUCGUGCAUCCGCUUUUCAAUGUUAAAUUAGAACCAUAUUUAAUUCAUACAAAAAAUGGAAGUGUAAAGAUUAUAUUGGUUGGAAAGAAAUACAAAAGAAAUACUUUUUAAAAUUCCUGGAAAAGAAUAUGCCAUCAUACAAGCCUUAUCAUCUCAGAAAUAGAUUUAUUGAUCUUUGACAUUGAUAAUCAUAAUCAUUGAUUAUAUGAAAUAUAUUGAUUUCUUGUUUUAUGCUGAUAGAAAUAUAUAAAACAUAGGCUUGGCUGGUGGAUAUAUACUUUACUAUGAUGUUUGUGCUAAUAACAUUUCUAAACUCAAUAAAAAAAUAAACAGUUUUCAUUUAAUUAUGAACAAAGUUAAUUAUUUGUACAUAUGUAGAUGUGUUCAUUAAUCAAAUUAAAGUUUGUGUGUAAUCCUUUAACCCCAGGGAUUAUCGGUUCGAGCCUUACUUUGGUCACGACCAUGUUUCUUCAUAUGACACCAGUACUGGUUUGUUCCAGGAAGCCGACCCGAAAGUGAUCAAUAUAAGUUGCAAGAACUUGUUUUGCAAUCGAGCUUACAAUAAUGUAAUUAAACAUAACUUAUCCAUUUCAUUAUUUUGUUGUUUCUUAUGAUUUUGUUUUUUAUUUUAGAAAAGUGUCUGAAUCACCAGACGAUAGUGCGUUCAGUGUGACAGAUCAUUUUUCAUCCGAAAAAAUGAUCAAGUGUGAAAAGAAUAAUAUCAAAACCUCUCAGUAUCAAGUGAUUCUUGGUGCAUACUACAAUCCAAGAUCAGACAGCAAUGAAGCUACUAUAACAGUGACAAUAAAUGUGCAAGGAUUAUCAGAACCAGCGACAGAAACAACAGCAUCAGUAGCGACAGUAACAACAGCAUCGCCAGUAACAACAACAUCAGCAGCGACAGUAACAACAGCAUCAGCAUCAACAGCAGCAGUAGCGAUAUUAACAACAGCAUUUAACUUAGGGAUCUUUAUUCGCAAUCUUAUGUUAAACAUUUAACUGCAACACAUGUAGUUUUUGAUCUUGAAGUUUUAUUAAUAUCUUAUCUACAUUUUUGUAUGUGUGUAGUAAAACAGAAUUAACUUUAAAUGUAUUCAAGAAAUUAUAUUUACUAUAUGCACAGAUGGUGCAGCUUUGACUUUGCUGAAGGAAAAGCAAAUGUUCACACAUCGACGGAAAUGAACAAGGGAAUACUAUUAAGAAAUAACUUUUGAUUUUUAAAGGAAGUCCACUCAAAGCUUUUUGCAUGAUUUCCGAAAGAACUUUCAUAAUUCUAAUUAAUGCUUUAUAAUUUUAGAAACGAGUGAUAAUUAUUAGAUACGUGAAACCUGAUAUCGUAUGUUUAACUUUAAUUUUUCUAUGAUAUAAAAUAAUAUU